CCCGGUAAACGGCGGCCGUAACUAUAACGGUCCUAAGGUAGCGAAAUUCCUUGUCAGGUAAGUUCUGACCCGCACGAAUGGCGUAACGAUUUGGGCACUGUCUCAACAGCCCGCCCGGCGAAAUUGUUGUAUUGGUGAAGAAGCCAGUUACCCGCAACUAGACGGAAAGACCCCAUGGAGCUUUACUGCAGCUUAAUACUGAAGAUUGGUAAUGCAUGUACAGGAUAGGUGGGAGCCUGAGAAGCACGGGCGUCAGCUUGUGUGGAGGCAACCUUGGAAUACCACCCUUGUAUUGCUGGUUUUCUAACCAGCGGCCGUGAAUCCGGUCGGGGGACACUGUUAGGCGGGCAGUUUGACUGGGGCGGUCGCCUCCAAAAGAGUAACGGAGGCGCUCAAAGGUUGGCUCAGCACGGACGGAAAUCGUGCACAGAGUGCAAACGCAAAAGCCAACUUGACUGCGAGACCGACGGGUCGAGCAGGUACGAAAGUAGGAGUUAGUGAUCCGGUGGUAUGUGAGUGGAAAUGCCAUCGCUCAACGGAUAAAAGCUACCCUGGGGAUAACAGGCUGAUCUCCCCCAAGCGUCCACAGCGACGGGGAGGUUUGGCACCUCGAUGUCGGCUCGUCACAUCCUGGGGCUGAAUUAGGUCCCAAGGGUUCGGCUGUUCGCCGAUUAAAGUGGCACGCGAGCUGGGUUCAGAACGUCGUGAGACAGUUCGGUCCCUAUCUGUUGCGGGCGUAGGAGAUUUGAAGGGAGCUGACCCUAGUACGAGAGGACCAGGUUGGACAGACCUCUGGUGCACCAGUUGUCGUGCCAACGGCACAGCUGGGUAGCUAUGUCUGGACGAGAUAAACGCUGAAGGCAUCUAAGCGUGAAACUUCCCCUAAGAUAAGAUCUCCCAUCCAUAUGGAGUAAGGGACGACGUAGACUAUGUCGUUGAUAGGCCGGAGGUGUAAGCACGGUAACGUGUUCAGCUGACCGGUACUAAUAACCCGAGGGCUUGACCUA
rnacentral:rRNA from 1 species